rnacentral:rRNA from 1 species
CGGGUGAGUAAUGCAUAGGAAUCUGCCCUAUAGUGGGGGACAACUCGGAGAAAUCCGAGCUAAUACCGCAUAAUCUCUACGGAGGAAAGCCUUCGGGCGCUAUUGGAUGAGCCUAUGUCUGAUUAGCUUGUUGGUGAGGUAAAAGCUCACCAAGGCGACGAUCAGUAGCUGGUCUGAGAGGACGAUCAGCCACACUGGGACUGAGACACGGCCCAG